CGAAGGAGACGCUGACACGAUGGAGGGUCCCAGAGCUUUAUGGGGGGGCAACGGGGGCACCCCAGCACCCAACAGCCCCCCCCCACAUCCCCCCGGCACCCGGGGCCACCCCCAGGACCAUGGGGAGAGGGGACACGGGGGGAGCCCAUGGCACGAGGACGUGACGGGCACGGGGACAUGGGUGGGCACAGGUGGUCAUGGGUGGUUCCAGGAGGUCAUGGGUGAUCAUGGGAGGUCUCAGGUGGACACGGGUGGUGAUGGGUGGUUCCAGGAGGUCCUGGGUGGUCAUGGAUGGCCAUGGGUGGUCAUAGGAGGUCCUGGUUGGUCAUGGAUGGACAUGGGAGGUCUCAGGUGGACACAGGUGGUCAUGGGUGGUUCCAAGUCAUGGGUGGUCACGGGAGGUUCCAUGAGGCCAUGGAUGGUCAUGGAUGAACAUCACAGGUCACAGGUGGACAUGAGAGGUCAUGGGUGGUUCCAGGCAGCCAUGGAUGGACGCGGGUGGUCAUGGGAUGUCCUGGUUCCUCACACAGGGUCAUGGAUGGACACAGGUGGACACAGGUGGUCACGGCUUCACACAGGAGGACCACGGGUGGUCCUGGGUGCUCACGGACACACAGUUGGCCACGGAAGACAUAGGUGGUCACAUCUGCCCACGGGUGGUCACAGCACCCGGGUGGCCGUGGGUGGUCACGGGAGGAUACGGGAGGCCAUGGGUGGUCUGGGGUGGUCACAGGAGGCCACGNCACAGGUGGACACAGGUGGUCACGGCUUCACACAGGAGGACCACGGGUGGUCCUGGGUGCUCACGGACACACAGUUGGCCACGGAAGACAUAGGUGGUCACAUCUGCCCACGGGUGGUCACAGCACCCGGGUGGCCGUGGGUGGUCACGGGAGGAUACGGGAGGCCAUGGGUGGUCUGGGGUGGUCACAGGAGGCCACGGGUGGUCCUGGGUGGCCACGGGUGGUCCCAGGUGGCCAUGGCAGGAGACAGAAGGUGACGGUGGCCUCAGUCGGAGUCGCUGCUGGAGGAGGAGGAGGAGGACGAAGAGCGCUGCAAGGGGACAAGAUGGCCAUGAGCACCCGGAGGGGGGGGGUCUACAGGGGUGGGGGUGACCCCUCCAGUGUCCCCCGUCCCCCCCCAAAACCUCCCCUUUCACCUUGUGCCUCUUGUGAGCCUUCUUCAUCCUCUUCUUCAUCUUCUUUGCCGCCUUCUUGUCCAGCCCGGGGGGGUACAGGGGGGGCACCCCGGGGUAGGGGGGGUGCAAGUUGGGGGGGCCCGUGGGGCACAGUGGGGGCCCCGAGGGGG
rnacentral:lncRNA from 1 species